UGGAUUUGCAUUGUGUAAUUUAAUAAUUUCCAGUAUUCAAAGUAAUUAAAUCUUAUUAUCUAUAUGAAGGAAUGUGGUAUCAUUUAGCGAUGGACCUCCCAAUGAAGGCAGUGGCAUCCUAUACUUUUACUUGACAACUCUUGAUCCAACACUCCAACAGCAAGAAAUGCAUUAAAAGAUGAAAGAGCCUCGUUCACAGUUAAUGAAUACCCUCUCGGGACCUGCGGUAACCUUGACCCAGAGAACACUACGUGUUCAAAAAUUACUCUAACUGGAUAGCUUAAAUUGGUUGAUGAUUCCGAGGAAGCCGAAUUUGCAAGAAUUUCCUUGUUUUCCAAGCACUGAGAUGCAGGAUAAUACCUGAAAAUCAUUAAAUUAGAUUAGAAUCCUAUGUGUUUUAUGUAGGAUAUUUGACUAGUUGCAAAUUUUCAAUGACCAGCUUUCUCCUCAUUAUAUAUUUGAUUCUUGCUAAAAAAAACUUAUUUCUGCUAUUUUAAUUUUGGUAUUCUUUAACAGGUUGAACUGAGGGUCACAACUUUCAAGUCUUCAAAUUAGAAAUAGAAGAUAUAUUUCUAAUCGAUUGGUAUGGCGGUCCUAAACCUCUCAGUGUGGACGAGUACCUGCAUCCCAAAAUGUAGGUACUGCAGCAGAAAUAAUUUCCUUUAAAUGGCAAUGAUAUAACAUGAUAACCCCCCACCCUAAACAGUAACAAAUGAAUAAAAGUUUUAUGCCAUUUACGAAAUUCUCAUCUAUGAUUUCGUAAUUAAUUUUUAUUCAAUUAUGGUGGGUUAUGUCAUCCACAGGAACAGUUUUGGCUUCAUUGUGUGAAUGCUCUUCUAAGUCAUUUCUAUUUUGGGCUAUCUGCAAAUGCACAUAUUCAUUGGAGCUAUUGUAAAUAUAAGAUAAGUUGUAUAUGUUGUUUCAAAUCUUUGCAUUCCUUCCCAAAUACUCUUGUAUUCUUGUACCAUCGCUAUAUAUCCCUUUGCCAUUUGAGAUGCUUCUCCAAGCAUCGUAAUGUUGAAGAGGAAACAGCGUAAGCUACUGCGGUUAACCCUCUACUUUUAGCUUUUUAUAUAGACAAGCAAAUUGUGUAUACUUGACCAGUGUGGCUAUUAAAUAUGAACAUAUGUUGCAAUGGUUCAGUGUGCCCUAUUUUAUUCGACC